CGGAGGGUGCAAGCGUUAUCCGGAUUCACUGGGUUUAAAGGGUGCGUAGGCGGGCAGGUAAGUCCGUGGUGAAAUCUCUGAGCUUAACUCAGAAACUGCCAUGGAUACUAUUUGUCUUGAAUAUUGUGGAGGUAAGCGGAAUAUGUCAUGUAGCGGUGAAAUGCUUAGAUAUGACAUAGAACACCAAUUGCGAAGGCAGCUUACUACACAGUUAUUGACGCUGAGGCACGAAAGCGUGGGGAUCAAACAGGAUUAGAUACCCUGGUAGUCCACGCCCUAAACGAUGAUUACUCGACAUCAGCGAUACACUGUUGGUGUCUGAGCGAAAGCAUUAAGUAAUCCACCUGGGAAGUACGAUCGCAAGAUUG
rnacentral:rRNA from 1 species